GCCGGUGUGGUGGAAUUGGUAGACACAAGGGACUUAAAAUCCCUCGGUAGCGAUACCGUACCGGUUCGAGCCCGGUCACCGGCA
rnacentral:tRNA from 1 species